rnacentral:rRNA from 1 species
AUUGAACGCUGGCGGCAGGCCUAACACAUGCAAGUCGAGCGGAUGAGAGGAGCUUGCUCCUUGAUUUAGCGGCGGACGGGUGAGUAAUGCCUAGGAAUCUGCCUGGUAGUGGGGAUAACGUCCGGAAACGGGCGCUAAUACCGCAUACGUCCUACGGGAGAAAGCAGGGGACCUUCGGGCCUUGCGCUAUCAGAUGAGCCUAGGUCGGAUUAGCUAGUUGGUGAGGUAAUGGCUCACCAAGGCGACGAUCCGUAACUGGUCUGAGAGGAUGAUCAGUCACACUGGAACUGAGACACGGUCCAGACUCCUACGGGAGGCAGCAGUGGGGAAUAUUGGACAAUGGGCGAAAGCCUGAUCCAGCCAUGCCGCGUGUGUGAAGAAGGUCUUCGGAUUGUAAAGCACUUUAAGUUGGGAGGAAGGGUAUUCACCUAAUACGUGGGUACUUUGACGUUACCAACAGAAUAAGCACCGGCUAACUCUGUGCCAGCCGCCGCGGUAAUAC